rnacentral:rRNA from 1 species
GACGAACGCUGGCGGCGUGCUUAACACAUGCAAGUCGAACGGAAAGGCCUGCUUUCCCUUGUGGAUUGCGGGUACUCGAGUGGCGAACGGGUGAGUAACACGUGAGUUAUCUGCCCCCAACUUGGGUAUAAGCCUGGGAAACUGGGUCUAAUUCCCGAUAGGACUGCAGGGUGGUGCCUGUGGUGGGAAACGAUUUUCUAGUGGUUGGGGAUGAGCUCGCGGCCUAUCAGCUUGUUGGUGGGGUAAUGGCCUACCAAGGCGGCGACGGGUAGCCGGCCUGGGGGGGUGGACGGCCACAUUGGGACUGGGAUACGGCCCAGACUCCUACGGGAGGCAGGAGUGGGGAAUAUUGCACAAUGGGCGGAAGCCUGAUGCAGCGACGCCGCGUGGGGGAUGACGGCCUUCGGGUUGUAAACUCCUUUCGACCGCGAGGAAGCCACCUGGUUGGAAGGGUGGUGACGGUAGUGGUAGAAGAAGCACCGGCUAACUACGUG